rnacentral:rRNA from 1 species
CGCGGCCUAUCAGCUUGUUGGUGAGGUAACGGCUCACCAAGGCGACGACGGGUAGCUGGUCUGAGAGGACGAUCAGCCACACUGGGACUGAGACACGGCCCAGACUCCUACGGGAGGCAGCAGUAGGGAAUCUUGCGCAAUGGGCGAAAGCCUGACGCAGCAACGCCGCGUGGGGGAUGACGGCUUUCGGGUUGUAAACCCCUUUCAGCAGGGACGAAAAUGACGGUACCUGCAGAAGAAGCUCCGGCCAACUACGUGCCAGCAGCCGCGGUAACACGUAGGGGGCGAGCGUUGUCCGGAAUUAUUGGGCGUAAAGAGCUCGUAGGUUGCUUAGUAAGUCGAGCGUGAAAUUUCAGGGCUCAACCCUGAAACGCCGUUCGAUACUGCUAUGGCUAGAGUCCGGUAGAGGAGCGUGGAAUUCCAAGUGUAGCGGUGAAAUGCGCAGAUAUUUGGAGGAACACCAGCGGCGAAGGCGGCGCUCUGGGCCGGUACUGACGCUGAGGAGCGAAAGCAUGGGGAUCAAACAGGAUUAGAUACCCUGGUAGUCCAUGCCGUAAACGUUGGGCACUAGGUGUGGGGCCUAUUCAACGGGUUCCGUGCCGCAGCUAACGCAUUAAGUGCCCCGCCUGGGGAGUACGG